AGACCUGCUGCCAGCUCUCCUGAGCCGGGCAGGGGCUGAGAGCCAGCAGAGCUCCUUCCCCGAGCCCCGCCCCCACCAUCUCUGACCGAGGCGGCCGUCCAUCACUGCUCAGGGCGCGACCGGCUGACUUCACCCCUUGUAUCUGCCCAGGGGAGGGGAAUGCCCACUGACGAGGACAGGCAGGGACAGUCCCCGCCCUUCCCACAGCGGGCUCGGCACAGGCGGCUGGACGGACGGCCUGGCCGACAUCUGCAUAAACAAAGCUCCAGGAGCCCGGCCUGGUGGGGCCGCAUCGCCCUCGGCUCUCAGCCCUUGGGGGAGGUGAGGGGAGUAUGCAGAACCACCCCUGAGCGUUCCACCAGGCCAGGGAGGGUGCCCGCAGCUGGCCCCGGCAAGAAUGAAGUUCGGGUGCUUGGAGCGUGUUGCCCACGAGUCCAAGAGCUUCCUUCAGGGGCUGGCAGCAGCCACGCCCUCUGGGCCUGAGUGUGUGGGACACCAGUGCUCCCCACUCCCAGCCUCUGUCCCUGUGCGGCCCUCACCUGCCCUUCCAGCCCCGUCUCUCUCAUCGACUUCCUGCUAAGCCCGGCCCCCAGGCCUCCCCUCCCUAAGGAGCAGUUGUGACGCCAG
rnacentral:lncRNA from 1 species